GGAUCAUUACAGAGUUCUCGCGACUCCCAUCAACCCCUUGUGAACAUACCCUAUUGUUGCCUCGGCGGCGGUACUCGUGACCCCGCCGGCGGCCCCUUACCAACAAACCCUGUCAGUACAACUUGAAUUCUGAACUUAUAACCAAAAAUACGUUAAAACUUUCAACAACGGAUCUCUUGGUUCUGGCAUCGAUGAAGAACGCAGCGAAAUGCGAUACGUAAUGUGAAUUGCAGAAUUCAGUGAAUCAUCGAAUCUUUGAACGCAUAUUGCGCCCGCUGGUAUUCCAGCGGGCAUGCCUGUUCGAGCGUCAUUUCAACCCUUAAGCCCUCGCCGCUUAGCGUUGGGAGCCUAACCCGCCGUUGCGCGGGUUAGCUCCCCAAAGUCAGUGGCGGAGCCAGCCCGUGCUCUAGGCGUAGUAGAUUUCUCAUCUCGCCUCUGUAGCCGCGGCGCGGCCUCCCCGCCGUAAAACACCCACACUUUUUUUUUAAUGGUUGACCUCGGAUCAGGUAGGAAUACCCGCUGAACUUAAGCAUAUCAAUAAGCGGAGGAAAAGAAACCAACAGGGAUUGCCCUAGUAACGGCGAGUGAAGCGGCAACAGCUCAAAUUUGAAAUCUGGCCCCUAGGGUCCGAGUUGUACUUUGUAGAGGAUGCUUUUGGCGCGGCGCCUUCCGAGUUCCCUGGAACGGGACGCCUUAGAGGGUGAGAGCCCCGUACGGUUGGCGGCCAAGCCUCUGUAAAGCUCCUUCGACGAGUCGAGUAGUUUGGGAAUGCUGCUCUAAAUGGGAGGUAAAUUUCUUCUAAAGCUAAAUAUUGGCCAGAGACCGAUAGCGCACAAGUAGAGUGAUCGAAAGAUGAAAAGCACUUUGAAAAGAGGGUUAAACAGCACGUGAAAUUGUUGAAAGGGAAGCGUUUGCGACCAGACUUCUUCCUGGCGGAUCAUCCGGCCAUCCUGGCCGGUGCACUUCGCCAGGUCGAGGCCAGCAUCGGUUUCCCGCGGGGGGACAAAAGCUCAGGGAACGUAGCUCCUCCGGGAGUGUUAUAGCCCUUUGCACAAUGCCCCCGGGGGGACCGAGGACCGCGCU
rnacentral:rRNA from 1 species